rnacentral:rRNA from 1 species
UACGUAGGGUGCAAGCGUUGUCCGGAAUUAUUGGGCGUAAAGAGCUCGUAGGCGGUUUGUCGCGUCUGCUGUGAAAACUCGGGGCUUAACUCCGGGCCUGCAGUGGGUACGGGCAGACUAGAGUGCGGUAAGGGAGACUGGAAUUCCUGGUGUAGCGGUGAAAUGCGCAGAUAUCAGGAGGAACACCGGUGGCGAAGGCGGGUCUCUGGGCCGUAACUGACGCUGAGGAGCGAAAGCGUGGGGAGCGAACAGG